ACGGAAGGCAGCAGUGAGGAAUAUUGGUCAAUGGGCGGAAGCCUGAACCAGCCAAGUCGCGUGAAGGAUGAAGGUAUUAUGUAUUGUAAACUUCUUUAGCAGCAGAGUAAUAAGGGGGUCGCGACCCCUGAUGCAAGUAUGCUGAGAAUAAGCAUCGGCUAACUCCGUGCCAGCAGCCGCGGUAAUACGGAGGAUGCGAGCGUUAUCCGGAUUUAUUGGGUUUAAAGGGUGCGCAGGCGGCCGUUUAAGUCAGUGGUGAAAUCGUGGUGCUCAACGCCAUCGUGCCAUUGAUACUGGGGGGGCUUGAUUUCGGUCGAGGUUGGCGGAAUUCGUCGUGUAGCGGUGAAAUGCAUAGAUAUGACGAAGAACACCGAUUGCGUAGGCAGCUGACCAGACCGACAAUGACGCUCAUGCACGAAAGUGCGGGGAUCGAACAGGAUUAGAUACCCUGGUA
rnacentral:rRNA from 1 species